AGCCAUGUAAAGAAGGUGCUUGCUUCUGCUUUACCUUCUGCCAUGAUUGUAAGCUUCCUGAGGCCUCCCAGCCAUGCUUCCUAUUAAGCCUGCAGAACCCCCACCCAGGUCAGAAGGGAAUGUGGCCAAUUUAACUCUGCGGACGGCCCCAAAACCAACCAGGAAGAAGCUGCACGCCUCGGAGCCUCACUGAUAGGCACGAUUCAG
rnacentral:lncRNA from 1 species